rnacentral:misc_RNA from 1 species
GUUUUUUGCAGGGGAAGCCUCAUAAACAUCUACAAGUUGAAGAUAGCAAGCCCUUUAAUAUCUCUUUGAUUUUCAUAUUUUCAAAUUGGUAAUUCCUAGAUUUUUUUUUUAAAAAAGUACUCAUAUGUUUGAAGGCUCUUCAUGCUAUCUUUAAAAUUCAUAUAAUGUACUUAAGUCACUUCAAUUUUUCUUUUGACUGAGCAUUUCUUGACGUGAAAUUAAGGUGUGCUCCAGAGCACAAACUGAAAUCCAAAGAGUGACAAAGUGC